CACUGUGUGUUGUUGGGUAGGGGAGCGUUCUGUAAGCCUGUGAAGGUGUGUCGUGAGGCAUGCUGGAGGUAUCAGAAGUGCGAAUGCUGACAUAAGUAACGAUAAAGCGGGUGAAAAGCCCGCUCGCCGGAAGACCAAGGGUUCCUGUCCAACGUUAAUCGGGGCAGGGUGAGUCGACCCCUAAGGCGAGGCCGAAAGGCGUAGUCGAUGGGAAACGGGUUAAUAUUCCCGUACUUGGUGUUACUGCGAAGGGGGGACGGAGAAGGCUAUGUUGGCCGGGCGACGGUUGUCCCGGUUUAAGCGUGUAGGUGUGUGUUCCAGGUAAAUCCGGUUCACUUUAACACUGAGGCGUGACGACGAGGCACUACGGUGCUGAAGCAACAAAUGCCCUGCUUCCAGGAAAAGCCUCUAAGCAUCAGGUAACAUCAAAUCGUACCCCAAACCGACACAGGUGGUCAGGUAGAGAAUACCAAGGCGCUUGAGAGAACUCGGGUGAAGGAACUAGGCAAAAUGGUGCCGUAACUUCGGGAGAAGGCACGCUGACAUGUAGGUGAAGUGAUUUACUCAUGGAGCUGAAGUCAGUCGAAGAUACCAGCUGGCUGCAACUGUUUAUUAAAAACACAGCACUGUGCAAACACGAAAGUGGACGUAUACGGUGUGACGCCUGCCCGGUGCCGGAAGGUUAAUUGAUGGGGUCAGCGCAAGCGAAGCUCCUGAUCGAAGCCCCGGUAAACGGCGGCCGUAACUAUAACGGUCCUAAGGUAGCGAAAUUCCUUGUCGGGUAAGUUCCGACCUGCACGAAUGGCGUAAUGAUGGCCAGGCUGUCUCCACCCGAGACUCAGUGAAAUUGAACUCGCUGUGAAGAUGCAGUGUACCCGCGGCAAGACGGAAAGACCCCGUGAACCUUUACUAUAGCUUGACACUGAACAUUGAGCCUUGAUGUGUAGGAUAGGUGGGAGGCUUUGAAGUGUGGACGCCAGUCUGCAUGGAGCCGACCUUGAAAUACCACCCUUUAAUGUUUGAUGUUCUAACGUGGACCCGUUAUCCGGGUUGCGGACAGUGUCUGGUGGGUAGUUUGACUGGGGCGGUCUCCUCCUAAAGAGUAACGGAGGAGCACGAAGGUUGGCUAAUCCUGGUCGGACAUCAGGAGGUUAGUGCAAUGGCAUAAGCCAGCUUGACUGCGAGCGUGACGGCGCGAGCAGGUGCGAAAGCAGGUCAUAGUGAUCCGGUGGUUCUGAAUGGAAGGGCCAUCGCUCAACGGAUAAAAGGUACUCCGGGGAUAACAGGCUGAUACCGCCCAAGAGUUCAUAUCGACGGCGGUGUUUGGCACCUCGAUGUCGGCUCAUCACAUCCUGGGGCUGAAGUAGGUCCCAAGGGUAUGGCUGUUCGCCAUUUAAAGUGGUACGCGAGCUGGGUUUAGAACGUCGUGAGACAGUUCGGUCCCUAUCUGCCGUGGGCGCUGGAGAACUGAGGGGGGCUGCUCCUAGUACGAGAGGACCGGAGUGGACGCAUCACUGGUGUUCGGGUUGUCAUGCCAAUGGCACUGCCCGGUAGCUAAAUGCGGAAGAGAUAAGUGCUGAAAGCAUCUAAGCACGAAACUUGCCCCGAGAUGAGUUCUCCCUGAGACUUAGAGUCUCCUGAAGGAACGUUGAAGACGACGACGUUGAUAGGCCGGGUGUGUAAGCGCAGCGAUGCGUUGAGCUAACCGGUACUAAUGAACCGUGAGGCUUAACCUUACAACGCCGAAG
rnacentral:rRNA from 1 species